CGUGAGUGAUGAAGGCCUUCGGGUCGUAAAGCUCUGUCAAGUGGGAAGAACCUAUGCAGUGUUAAUGUCACUGUGUACUGACGGUACCACUGAAGGAAGCACCGGCUAACUCCGUGCCAGCAGCCGCGGUAAUACGGGGGGUGCAAGCGUUAUUCGGAAUCAUUGGGCGUAAAGAGCACGUAGGCGGCCUGGUAAGUCAGGUGUGAAAGCCCGGGGCUUAACCCCGGAAGUGCAUUUGAUACUGUCAGGCUUGAGUAUGGGAGAGGGAAGUGGAAUUCCUGGUGUAGAGGUGAAAUUCGUAGAUAUCAGGAGGAACACCGGUGGCGAAGGCGACUUCCUGGACCAAUACUGACGCUGAGGUGCGAAGGCGUGGGUAGCAAACAGGAUUAGAUACCCUGGUAGUCCACGCAGUAAACGUUGUUCACUAGGUGUAGCGGGUAUUGACCCCUGCUGUGCCGCAGUUAACGCAUUAA
rnacentral:rRNA from 1 species